UGAGGAAUAUUGCGCAAUGGCCGAAAGGCUGACGCAGCGACGCCGCGUGGGGGAUGACGGCCUUCGGGUUGUAAACCCUUGUCAGUGGGGAAGAAAAAAAUGACUGUACCCACAGAGGAAGCCCCGGCUAACUCCGUGCCAGCAGCCGCGGUAAUACGGGGGGGGCAAGCGUUAUUCGGAAUUACUGGGUGUAAAGGGCGCGUAGGCGGCCGAAUUGGUCAGGUGUGAAAUCCCUAGGCUUACCUUAGGAACUGCGCUUGAUACCAUUCGGCUUGAGUACAGGAGAGGUGGGCGGAAUUCCAGGUGUAGCGGUGAAAUGCGUAGAUAUCUGGAAGAACACCGGUGGCGAAGGCGGCUCACUGGAAUGUCACUGACGCUGAAGCGCGAAAGCGUGGGGAGCGAACG
rnacentral:rRNA from 1 species